rnacentral:rRNA from 1 species
UACGUAGGGGGCAAGCGUUGUCCGGAUUUAUUGGGCGUAAAGAGCGUGUAGGCGGCCAGAUAGGUCCGUUGUGAAAACUCGAGGCUCAACCUCGAGACGCCGAUGGAAACCAUCUGGCUAGAGUCCGGAAGAGGAGAGUGGAAUUCCCGGUGUAGCGGUGAAAUGCGUAGAUAUCGGGAGGAAUACCUAUGGCGAAAGCAGGCUUCUGGGCCAUCACUGACGCUGAGCUGCGAAAGCUAGGGGAGCAAACAGG